rnacentral:rRNA from 1 species
UACGAAGGGGGCUAGCGUUGCUCGGAAUUACUGGGCGUAAAGCGCACGUAGGCGGAUAUUUAAGUCAGGGGUGAAAUCCCAGAGCUCAACUCUGGAACUGCCUUUGAUACUGGGUAUCUUGAGUAUGGAAAGAGGUAAGUGGAAAUUGCGAGUGUAGAGGUGAAAAUUCGUAGAUAUUCGCAGGAACACCAGUGGCGAAAGGC